rnacentral:rRNA from 1 species
UACGUAGGGUGCAAGCGUUGUCCGGAAUUAUUGGGCGUAAAGGGCUCGUAGGCGGUCCGUCGCGUCGGGAGUGAAAACUUGGGGCUUAACCCCAAGCCUGCUUCCGAUACGGGCGGACUAGAGGUAGGCAGGGGAGAACGGAAUUCCUGGUGUAGCGGUGAAAUGCGCAGAUAUCAGGAAGAACACCCGUGGCGAAGGCGGCUCUCUGGGACGGUACUGACGCUGAGACGCGAAAGCGUGGGGAGCGAACAGG